GUUGUUGUGGCCGAGUGGUUAAGGUGAUGGAUUUGAAAUCGAUUGGGGUUUCCCCGCGAAUGCUCAAAUCCUGCCGACAAUG
rnacentral:tRNA from 1 species